CAGACCUCUUAAGUCUCGUUUAAUAAUUCGAUUUUUCUUCCUCUCUCCUAGAUUGGUACUGUUACCAAUGCGAUUGGUACUAUUAAUAUAUCAAAACUAUUAAAAAAAACAGGCUAAUGAUCCUAGCAAUUGUGAAGAUGAUCAACAAACUCAUCAGAAUCCAGAAGAUCUGCUUCAAAAUUAUUGAACGACUAUUCCAAGCUUUUCCCGUUUAUUCAAAAACGAAAGUAAUAUUUAAUGUGAAAUAUUUAAUUUAUAUUUAAUACGAAAAUUAGUGCAGAUACUGUAUUAGUCAUACAAGGAAUAAAAUUUGUAUCAAUGCUAUGGAUCAUUAUGUUCCACAUGAUGUUCUUCACGUACAAUUACACUGACAAUAAAUCUUUAUCCUGGAGGAAAAUGGAAGAUUUUGUUAUCUAGAUGUUAACCAACGAGAAUUUGGUAGUUGACACAUUGUUCUUCUUAAGUGGUUUCCUCGUCGAUUAAAUGAAUUUAACGAAUGAAAAAAGCAAGGAUGAAUUCGUACAAUCACAUAGCUAAAACUAAAAUCUUCUUCCUGGGUAUUUUAAAAAACUUUGUCAGAUAGGAUAAUUUUCAAGUAUAAUAAAAAAUUUAAUUAUUUUUAGAAACUUAUUUGUUAAUUCUUCUAAUGUAAUUUAAUAUCGGCUUAUUAUUAUAUAAUUCCAUGUGGUUUAAUAACAACUCGUUAUUUUACAUGAGAUAUCGAUCACAUAAAAUAUGUCCAAAGUAUUAGUGGAGGAAUAUAUUUUAUAUUCAAAAUUUCUUUCGUAUGAAGACCAUGCUAUGAACAUUUAUUUAUUAAUAAUUGAUUGACACACAAUAUUCAUUGUAACAACGAUUACUUAUCAAUAUUUAUUUUUACGGUGUAUGAUUUGGAACUGGUACAUGGUAAACAAUAUGCAGUUCUUUGCAAUUGGCACAUUACUGCUAUUUUCUCGUAUUUUCGACGUACUUCAAUAUGGCAGUCUGUUUGCUAAGUCUAUUUCUCAUCGACGAUUAUAACGAGUUAUAUCUCCUAUAUCUACGAUUAUAUUCCUACAUUUGUGUGUGCUUAUGACUUUUCAUUGAUGUUCGAAAUACCAUACAUCCUUUUGAUGAAACAAAUUAUUAAUUAUAUACGCCGAUAAAAACAAAUGGUUGAUAUCUUCAUGCUUAUGCAAACUGAUAUAACUUUCUUUCCAUGUUUUGUAAUUUAUUAGUCCAUAUAUAUUUGUUUUUUCUCGUGAUUCAAUGCACUUCUUUCUAAAUUACAUACUGUUAUUUAGAAAGAAUCACGUAAUUAUUGUGAAGAAUUGAUUGAACGAGACACAACACAGACGGAAUCCAACGCAAAGAAACGCAUUUCACGAUUUUUAUACGAAGUUACGCGAAUAAUGCAGACAAACCUAAUCCCUCGAUGAUGGAAUGAGCUGCUCGAUGAUACAUCGGAGAACUGUCUAACUUCUCUGUUCGACUUCUUCCAAAGAACUCCUUCCAAAGGCUCAUACCCGAAGGUCUCAUCAGAGAGUUCAACACAAUAAAUAUUUUUCCCUAUUGAAAAAAAACAACCUACUCAAGAAUCUACGCUCAAGAAUUUCACCCGAGAGAAACUAAUAUAAUUAAAAUAGAAUAAUCGUUUCAACUAGUAGAAUUAAGUGGCUAUCCGUUUUAAUAACUAGAAAGAAGUGUUUGUUUACUCAUUCCAAAAAGUUCGGAGAACUGUCCCUAUUAUCCGAAUUACUAUCCAAAUUAAAUAAAAUACGUUCAUAAGUAAA